rnacentral:rRNA from 1 species
GGGGGAUAACGACGGGAAACUGUCGCUAAUACCGCGUAUUAUCGGAAGAUGAAAGUGCGGGACUGAGAGGCCGCAUGCCAUAGGAUGAGCCCAAGUGGGAUUAGGUAGUUGGUGGGGUAAAGGCCUACCAAGCCUGCGAUCUCUAGCUGGUCUGAGAGGAUGACCAGCCACACUGGAACUGAGACACGGUCCAGACUCCUACGGGAGGCAGCAGUGGGGAAUAUUGCGCAAUGGGGGGAACCCUGACGCAGCCAUGCCGCGUGAAUGAAGAAGGCCUUAGGGUUGUAAAGUUCUUUCGGUAUUGAGGAAGGUUGAUGUGUUAAUAGCACAUCAAAUUGACGUUAAAUACAGAAGAAGCACCGGCUAACUCCGUGCCAGCAGCCGCGGUAAUACGGAGGGUGCGAGCGUUAAUCGGAAUAACUGGGCGUAAAGGGCACGCAGGCGGUUAUUUAAGUGAGGUGUGAAAGCCCCGGGCUUAACCUGGGAAUUGCAUUUCAGACUGGGUAACUAGAGUACUUUAGGGAGGGGUAGAAUUCCACGUGUAGCGGUGAAAUGCGUAGAGAUGUGGAGGAAUACCGAAGGCGAAGGCAGCCCCUUGGGAAUGUACUGACGCUCAUGUGCGAAAGCGUGGGGAGCAAACAGGAUUAGAUACCCUGGUAGUCCACGCUGUAAACGCUGUCGAUUUGGGGGUUGGGGUUUAACUCUGGCGCCCGUAGCUAACGUGAUAAAUCGACCGCCUGGGGAGUACGGCCGCAAGGUUAAAACUCAAAUGAAUUGACGGGGGCCCGCACAAGCGGUGGAGCAUGUGGUUUAAUUCGAUGCAACGCGAAGAACCUUACCUACUCU